rnacentral:lncRNA from 1 species
CCAAAAUUCAAAAGGGGCACCACACACAUACAGCUUGGAGAUGUUGCAACAGUCCGUGUAUUUAUUCGAAAAGCUACAUCAGUGAAUUUCCUUAUGCGAGCUAAAGAAGCUCAGUUAGUACUACAGAAAAGGCAAAGGAUGAAGUUGUGAUGAGCUGGAAAACUCAGAUUUUGAACUACAGAAAAAUCCAAAAGUGAACUAUAAGAAAAUUGAUGAAUCAGAUGAACUUCUGAAUGAAGAUUUGAAACUUGAGAAUGAGUGGCAGCAAG